rnacentral:rRNA from 1 species
AACGAACGCUGGCGGCGUGUUUAAGACAUGCAAGUCGCACGGAAUCAAUUUGGUAGUAAUACUCGAUUGGUUCAGUGGCGCACGGGUGAGUAACAUGUGAAUUACAUGCCCUUCAGUGGGGAAUAGCCCAGGGAAACUUGGAUUAAUACCCCAUGGUAUCGCAAGAUUAAAGGUGGCCAGCAAUGGCUGUCGCUGAAGGAUUGGUUCGCACCCUAUCAGCUUGUUGGUGAGGUAACGGCUCACCAAGGCUACGACGGGUACCUGGUCUGAGAGGACGAUCAGGCACACUGGAACUGAGACACGGUCCAGACACCUACGGGUGGCAGCAGUCGAGAAUAAUUCACAAUGGGGGCAACCCUGAUGGUGCAACGCCGCGUGGAGGAUGACGGUCUUCGGAUUGUAAACUCCUGUCAUCCGGGAGUAAGACCUGGUCGUUAAUAGCGAACAGGGUUGAUAGUACCGGAAGAGGAAGGGACGGCUAACUUCGUGC